rnacentral:lncRNA from 1 species
GGUGCUGGGUCUUCCAGGAGAGCGCCUGCGCGGGAGGGUGACCACAGGCGGCCGGGCGGGAUGUCCUGUCCGCCGUCUUCAGCCCAGCCGCCACCACCCAUAAGCUAUGAGGAGGAGUUUACGACCACCUGGACUACUACCACCUGCGUGACUUCCCGGCCUGAGGGGUCCGCGCAGCAAAGGCCUGACGCUGCUGGAGCAGGCGCUGCGCACCUACCGGCUGGCGCCUGGUAGGCACGAGUGCAGGGUCGCCCAGAAGCUCCUCAAUGGCCGGCGCAAGUGCCAGCCAGCGCCAGCUGCAGCCCUGGCCGCGCACUCGCCUCAGCUGAGCCUGGGUCAGAGAUAUGAGACAAUCUGCAAAGAGGAAGCCAUGCCCUUGGCAUAGAAGCCGCUUGUUCCUGGGAUAAAGAGGUGGAUUUGGAAGAGUAGGCCAAAGUUGGACAAUAAGCCAAGGGGGGAAACUGUUGAAGAGAGUCAAGAGGCUGAGGCCUUGAGCCUGCAUUUUGGGUGGCACCCAAAGAUGACAAAAGGAGAAACAUGUCAUAAACUAGGCUUCAAAUGGCGCUUUGGCAGAAAGUUGUUUUGCUGCCCAAACUGGCAUUUAAUAUUGGUUGAAAUGAAUAAGACAUGCCAGCCAUCAACUUUUUACCAUGUAAUUAACCAGCUCUGAAUAAGGACAUGUCUUUUUACUUUAGUGCUCUUUUGAAAAUGGGUAAUAAACAAAAUAUUCAAAAGUCACAAAAUAGUAUGGACCGUGAGAACAUUGUGCUAAGUGAAACAAACCAGUUACAAAAGGACAAACACUAUAUGAUUCCACUUGCAUGAGCUAUCUAGAGUAGUCAAAUUCAUAGAAACAGAAAGUAGAAUGGUGACUGCCAAGGGUAGGGGAAGUAUUAAGUACUUGUUUAAUGGCUAGGAAAAAGUUUUGGAGGCUGGUUGUACAA